rnacentral:rRNA from 1 species
UACGAAGGGGGCUAGCGUUGCUCGGAAUUACUGGGCGUAAAGCGCACGUAGGCGGCUUUCUAAGUCGGGGGUGAAAUCCUGGAGCUCAACUCCAGAACUGCCUUCGAUACUGGAAAGCUCGAGUCCGGGAGAGGUGAGUGGAACUGCGAGUGUAGAGGUGAAAUUCGUAGAUAUUCGCAAGAACACCAGUGGCGAAGGCGGCUCACUGGACCGGUACUGACGCUGAUGCGCGAAAGCGUGGGGAGCAAACGGG